rnacentral:rRNA from 1 species
UGCCAGCCGCCGCGGUAAUACGAGGGGAGCUAGUGUUGUUCGGAUUUACUGGGCGUAAAGGGCGCGUAGAUGGUUACGUAAGUUAGAAGUGAAAUCUCAGGGCUCAACCUUGAAAAUGCUUCUAAAACUGCGAAACUAGAGUAUAGUAGAGGGUAAUAGAAUUCCUAGUGUAGAGGUGAAAUUCUUAGAUAUUAGGAGGAAUACCAACGGCGAAGGCAAUUACCUGGGCUAUUACUGACAUUAAUGCGCGAAAGCGUGGGUAGCAAACAGGAUUAGAUA